AGAGAAGCUUGCUUCUCUUGAGAGCGGCGGACGGGUGAGUAAUGCCUAGGAAUCUGCCUGGUAGUGGGGGAUAACGUUCGGAAACGGACGCUAAUACCGCAUACGUCCUACGGGAGAAAGCAGGGGACCUUCGGGCCUUGCGCUAUCAGAUGAGCCUAGGUCGGAUUAGCUAGUUGGUGAGGUAAUGGCUCACCAAGGCGACGAUCCGUAACUGGUCUGAGAGGAUGAUCAGUCACACUGGAACUGAGACACGGUCCAGACUCC
rnacentral:rRNA from 1 species